rnacentral:lncRNA from 1 species
UCAUAUUAUAUAAGGUCAUCACAUGUGUGUAGUGUGGCUGUCAGAACGUAAUCUGAGUUGUCUCUUCAUCUGGCAUUUUGUUUCACAUUUACCUGCUGCUCACCUCUCUCCUCUACCUGUACACACAUUUUAAUAAUGCCAGCAGAGUGCAAAUGCGGCACACACACACAUAAAUCCCAGGUGUGUGUGUGUGUGUGCUGAAGUGCCUCCCAGGCCUCUGCAGUGUGCUGCAGGGUGGAGGCAGAGCAGUAACCAUGGUGCAGAAAGAGUAAACAGGAAACUUGACACACACACACACACAGUACAAGAAAUAUGAUCCACCUUGUUAUGGAGACGUAAACUGGAAACGAGUGAAAACUAGAAAACAGAAAUGGAAUAACUGCACGUGGAAUCCUGAUCACAUCACCUGCAUCAUGGCUCAGAAAAACACAUCUGGAGCGAAUCCCAUCCCCAGACUGGUUGUCAAGAUCGUAGGCAGCAAACAGGUCAAGCAGUUUAUCGAGGAGCCCCGAGAAGAAUCUGGAGACGUGUCAAAGAAAGAAGAGAGUCGUCCAGUUGAAGCUGCAUAUGAUGGUGAUUUCAAGAAACCUCCAGAAAAACAGGAUGUGAUGGUGUCCAGCUCUGACAGGAAGGUGGAGAACAGAGUGGACUCUGCACUUUGGGCUGUCAUACAGCAGGUUCCUGACAGACGGUGUGUGACAGCGCCCUCUGGUGAUCGCUCCAGGUCCUACAUCCACCCAAAGACUCGUCACAGCUGUGAACCGAGAGCAGCUGCAGUUCUGGAGAUAUCAGAGGAGGUUCUUCUGUGA